rnacentral:misc_RNA from 1 species
AACGCACAUUGCGCCCUUUGGUAUUCCGAAGGGCAUGCCUGUUCGAGCGUCAUUACACUCUCAAGCACCUGCUUGGCUUUGGGAAAGGUCCCCAUAGGACCCUUCCGUAACCUAGAGGCGGUACCGUCGAGCUUCAAGCGUAGCAGAAAACCCUCGCUUGGUUGUCCCUUCGGCACCUGCCAGCUAAGAAAUCAAAGGUUUGACCUCGGAUCAGGUAGGGAUACCCGCUGAACUUAA